rnacentral:rRNA from 1 species
AUUGAACGCUGGCGGCAGGCCUAACACAUGCAAGUCGAGCGGAGCGGCGGACGGGUGAGUAAUGCCUAGGACUCUGCCUGGUAGUGGGGGAGAACGACAGGAAACGGGAGCGAAAACCGCUUCCUAUUAGAUGAGCCUAGGUCGGAUUAGCUAGUUGGUGGGGUAAUGGCCGACCAAGGCGACGAUCCGUAACUGGUCUGAGAGGAUGAUCAGUCACACUGGAACUGAGACACGGUCCAGACUCCUACGGGAGGCAGCAGUGGGGAAUAUUGGACAAUGGGCGAAAGCCUGAUCCAGCCAUGCCGCGUGUGUGAAGAAGGUCUUCGGAUUGUAAAGCACUUUAAGUUGGGAGGCGUUACCAACAGAAUAAGCACCGGCUAACUUCGUGCCAGCAGCCGCGGUAAUAC